rnacentral:rRNA from 1 species
UACGUAGGGUGCAAGCGUUAAUCGGAAUUACUGGGCGUAAAGCGUGCGCAGGCGGUUUUGUAAGUCAGAUGUGAAAGCCCCGGGCUUAACCUGGGAACUGCGUUUGAAACUGGGAGACUUGAGUGUGGCAGAGGGGGGUGGAAUUCCACGUGUAGCAGUGAAAUGCGUAGAUAUGUGGAGGAACACCGAUGGCGAAGGCAGCCCCCUGGGUUAACACUGACGCUCAUGCACGAAAGCGUGGGGAGCAAACAGG